AUGCUACUCCCUCCGUUUGGAAUUACUCGUCCAAAAAAUGAAUGUAUCUUAGAUGUAUUUUAGUUGUAGAUACAUCCAUUUUUGUGACAAGUAAUUCCGAACGGAGGGAGUAGAUG
rnacentral:pre_miRNA from 1 species